AAUAUUUUGAAAACAGAUAUAAUUAUAUAUAGAAGGAAGCACUGCAUGCAUUACCUACAUAUUGGUAUAAUUUUAACAUAAUAUACCAUGUGUGUCACGCAUAUAACCUGCUAAACACACACAGUAACUAUUUGCCCAUCUGUAAACAGUAAAGUUCUCUGUUAUUUAACCUUGUUGUAUAUAGACAAUUCAUGUGAGGAAUUCAAACAACCCGAAGAGACUAUUUUGCGCAAUACAACUAUAAAUGGCAGUUCUCUGAUCACUAAAGAAGUGGAACCUGGUGAACUGACAGAUGAAGAAUUAGAUGUUGAAGACAAAGUCAGUCAGGAAAAGUUGUCUCUUCUUGAAAACUCGCAAAAAAUCAAGGACAUGCUAUUAAACAAACAUCUGCAAAGAGUUUUGAAGACUA